GCAGCUGUAGCUCAGUUGGUUAGAGCGCCUGAUUGUGGAUCAGGAGGUCGCUGGUUCGAAUCCAGCCAGCUGUACCA
rnacentral:tRNA from 1 species